AAUGAGUUAUACAUUGUUAUUCUUCUUUUACUGUGCUCGAUUCUUCUAUAAACGAAAAGCGGUCGAUAAACAUAAUUGCUUUCGGCGGGAAACAUUGAUUCCGCAUUUUGCAAUUCUUCAGUUAUCCGAGAAGCUAAAAGUAAUGAGAAGAACAAACGUAAUUACUUUUAUAAGGAAAUCCAACCGGUCUAAUUGAUAAUAAUCUUACUAAUGGACAAUAAUUAACAGUAAAAUACAUUGUGAGUGGGCUUACUAAUGUGUAAUCGGGAAUCCAGCUAAAAUCUAAUGUCACAGACGGCGACACGAAGUUGAAACACUCGCAGACCUACGUUAGAGUGAAUAUGUUUCCAUACACCACCAAGUUAUUUUUUUUUUAUAAAAUUUGACAAAGGAAAAUAUCUAUUGUAGGUUUAAUUGUAAGUGAAACUUUGUUCUCUUUGUAAUUGUUUCUAUACUUUUAUACUUAGAUCAGGUUUACCUAUAUAGAAAGUUCACAAAGUAGGUAGGUAUAUAUAGCAAAAUUCAG